CUGGCGUCUUCGGCGUCCGCAUUGUAAUCUCAAGAAGUGUUUUCCGCUUCGGACCAUGCCUAAGUCCCUUGGAAAAGGGCAUCAUAGAGGGUGAUAAUCCCGUACAUGGCAUGGAGCGCCCGAGGCUUUGUGAUACGCUUUCUAAGAGUCGAGUUGUUUGGGAAUGCAGCUCAAAAUGGGUGGUAAAUGCCAUCUAAGGCUAAAUAUUGGGGAGAGACCGAUAGCGAACAAGUACAGUGAUGGAAAGAUGAAAAGAACUUUGAAAAGAGAGUUAAACAGUACGUGAAAUUGCCAAAAGGGAAGGGUAGGAGGUCAGAGAUGCCUCUUGGGAUUCAGCCUUGCUUUUGCUUGGUGUUUUUCCCAAGUUGCAGGCCAACGUCGGUUUUGGGCACUGGAGAAGGGUGGAAGGAAUGUGGCACCUCUCGGGGUGUGUUAUAGCCUUCUACUGGAUACAGCGACCGAGACCGAGGACAGCAGCGUACUCGCAAGAGCGGGCCUUCGGGCACCUUUACGCUUAGGGCGUUGGCAUAAUGGCCCUCUACCACC
rnacentral:rRNA from 1 species